UGGGGAAUAUUGCACAAUGGAGGGAACUCUGAUGCAGCGACGCCGCGUGAACGAAGAAGGCUUUCGAGUCGUAAAGUUCUUUUAUAUGGGAAGAUAAUGACGGUACCAUAAGAAAAAGCCCCGGCUAACUACGUGCCAGCAGCCGCGGUAAUACGUAGGGGGCUAGCGUUGUCCGGAAUCACUGGGCGUAAAGGGUUCGCAGGCGGAAAUGCAAGUCAGGUGUAAAAGGCAGUAGCUUAACUACUGUAAGCAUUUGAAACUGCAUAUCUUGAGAAGAGUAGAGGUAAGUGGAAUUUUUAGUGUAGCGGUGAAAUGCGUAGAUAUUAAAAAGAAUACCGGUGGCGAAGGCGACUUACUGGGCUCACUCUGACGCUGAGGAACGAAAGCGUGGGUAGCAAACAGG
rnacentral:rRNA from 1 species